GCCAAAAAUUUAGUCCUACAACCCCUCAUGUCUACACCUCUCUUUAACAAGAUGAUAAAACAUUUUUACUAUUAAGUACGGGCGAUAGAAAAAUACUUAGGAACUACAACAAGAGUACCGCAAGGGAACAAUGAAAUAGAAAUGAAAUAAUUAUCAAGCACAACAAAGCAGAGCCAAACCUCGUACCUUUUGCAUCAUGGUUUAGCCAGUCCAAUCAAGCGUAAAGAAUUUCAGUUUGACACCCCGAAAUCAGGCGAGCUACUUCAAAACAGCCUUCAGGGCCAACCCGUCUCUGUUGCAAAAGAGUGGGAAGAUUUUUAAGUAGAGGUGACAAACCUACCGAGCCUGAAGAUAGCUGGUUGCUUGGGAAAAGGAUUUUAGUCCCCCUUUAAGUUUUUCUAUAAAUUCAACUACACACUUAAACUUAAAAGAUAUUCAAAUGAGGUACAGCCCAUUUGAAACAGGAAACAACCUAAAAUACAGGGUAACGCCCCAAGGUUUUAUGCUCAAGUGGGCCUAAAAGCAGCCACCUUCAAAAAAGCGUUAAAGCUUCUACAUAACACCACAUCAAUUCAACAAAAACCACAAAACCCUUUCUUAAUACCAAGCAGCCCUAUAACUAUAUAGGAAUUAUCCUGCUAAAACUAGUAACAAGAAGAAGACCUUCUCCUAAAUGUAAACGUAAGCCAUUAGAACCACUCACUGGCACUUAACGUCUAUGAAUCCAAGGCAGCAACUUCUAAAGAAAACCCUGCCUGAUACCACGUCAACCUUACACAAGAACAUUUCAGGAAAGAUUAAAAGAGAAGGAAGGAACUCGGCAAACUUUAGCCCCGCCUGUUUACCAAAAACAUCGCCUCCUGAAGUAAUAGGAGGUCCAGCCUGCCCAGUGACCAAGUUAAACGGCCGCGGUACCCUAACCGUGCGAAGGUAGCGCAAUCACUUGUUCUUUAAAUGAGGACUAGUAUGAACGGCAUCACGAGGGCUAUACUGUCUCCCCCCUCUAAUCAGUGAAACUGAUCUCUCCGUGAAGAAGCGGAGAUUAACCUAUAAGACGAGAAGACCCCAUGGAGCUUAAAACUCAAUUCCAACUGCCAUAAACCACAUCACGCCAACAGGCAGACAUGACAAUUAGUUUUCGGUUGGGGUGACCACGGAGUAAAAACAAACCUCCACGAUGAACGACCCUUCCCUUCUAAUCCAAGAGUGACAACUCUAAGAAUCAAUAAAUUGACUUUUGACCCAAAUUCUUGAUCAACGAACCAAGUUACCCUGGGGAUAACAGCGCAAUCCAUUUCAAGAGCCCCUAUCGACAAAUGGGUUUACGACCUCGAUGUUGGAUCAGGGUACCCAAGUGGUGCAGCCGCUACUAAAGGUUCGUUUGUUCAACGAUUAAAACCCU
rnacentral:rRNA from 1 species